GCUUGUCUCAAAGAUUAAGCCAUGCAUGUAUAAGUAUAAACGCAUUGAAGCGUGAAACCGCGAACGGCUCAUUACAACAGCUAUAAUUUACUUGAUCUUGACAUCCUACAUGGAUAACUGUGGUAAUUCUAGAGCUAAUACAUGCACCAAAGCUCCAACCCGCAAGGGAAGAGCGCAUUUAUUAGAACAAACCAAGCGGCUUCGGCUGCCCAACGUUGACUCAGAAUAACUAAGCUGAUCGCAUGGUCUUGUACCGGCGACGUGUCUUUCAAGUAUCUGCCUUAUCAACUUUCGAUGGUACUGUCAUUGACUACCAUGGUGGUGACGGGUAACGGAGGAUCAGGGUUCGACUCCGGAGAAGGGGCCUGAGAAAUGGCCACUACGUCUAAGGAUGGCAGCAGGCGCGCAAAUUACCCACUCUCAGAACAACUAGAGGAGGUAGUGACGAGAAAUAACGAGACCGUUCUCAACAGAGGCCGGUCAUCGGAAUGGGUACAAUUUAAACCCUUUAACGAGUAUCUAUGAGAGGGCAAGUCUGGUGCCAGCAGCCGCGGUAAUUCCAGCUCUCAAAAUGCAUAGAAUUAUUGCUGCGGUUAAAAAGCUCGUAGUUGGAUCUGUGCCAGCAUGCCGGUCCAUCUUCGGAUGCGUACUGGUUCAUUGCCGGCUUUCCUGCAGUUUGUCGGCUCUGUGCCCUUCACUGGGCGCAGUUGUUCGGUGCUGCAAGUUUACUUUGAACAAAUCAGAGUGCUCUAAACAGGCGUUUCGCUUGAAUGUUCGUGCAUGGAAUAAUAGAAGAGGAUUUCGGUUCUAUUUUAUUGGUUUUAUAGACUGAGAUAAUGGUUAACAGAGACAAACGGGGGCAUUCGUAUUGCUACGUGAGAGGUGAAAUUCUUGGACC
rnacentral:rRNA from 1 species